AUAAAAAGGCAUUUUAAUGUUUAUUGUGAUCUUCAGAAAAACAUAUAAAAACUUUGAAAUGUGAGUCUCAGACUGCUCGUCUUCACCACAAUUAAAGGCAUAUAACCUUAUUCUUGACAACAAAACUGACUUUACCAAUGGGUGUUGCAAUCACAGGACAAUUUAGGGACCUCAAGAGGUCUCUAGCCCAAACCACAGCUCCAAGCGCCUACAUCCAACUCCAUGAGCUUCCUCUGCCCCUUGCGUUUAGCAGUUCCGGGGAUACACCGGCGAGAACAACUCUUCCGGGUCCCCAUCCCUGCGGUGACCACCCUCAACCCAAGAACUCUCCCUAACUCUUACACCCCGUUCUCCUCUCCCCUGUCCCUACUCCGAGAAGACCCUAUCCCCGCCUUCCCGCUCUAUCCGGCUCCGGAUAACAGCACCCUGACCCCCUCCAUAGCCCCAUCGCCGGAGGGCACACAGCCCCGCCGGUCACCGAGACCGGGGCGCGCCGUUUGCCCGCGGGAUCAAGGCGGAGCGCUCCCCUCCCCGGGUCACCUUGCCCCGCCGCAGGCCCGGCCCCUUCCCUUCGCCUCCAGGCCCCGACCCCGCCUCACCCCUCAUGCCCCGCGGCCUACAGCGGCGGGGCGGCCCGGGGAUGGAGGAAGGGGAGCAGGCCGCGGCGGAGCGCGGUUGCCAGGCAGCGCGGAGGGCCCCGCGGGUCGACGCUCGGGCGGUGGUGCCGGCGGGUCGGUACUCACGGCGGAGGAAGCGGCCCAGCAGGCGGGCGGCGGCGCGGCUGCAGUGAGACAUCGUCCCCUUCGGCAAUGACACCGGCCCGGCGGAGCGCGGCGCCUGAGCACUUGCCCACCCCGGCGCGGCGCGGCGCCGGGCAGCCCUGCGAGCGGAUUGGCUCAUCGCAGAGGCCCCAUUAAGAUUCUUGACAGCAGCGUUUUCGUUCUGCUAAACUUCAGGGGAUGUAUAUUCUGGAAGAGAAUGUGGUUAAUGAACCACAUGACAAGGACUUUAAACAAACAUUCACAAGAAGAGCAUGUGUCAGGGACAAUGAUUACAGGAGAGGCCUCUCCAGAGCAAACAGAGGAUAUAUGUGUAUGUGGGACUUGUAGGAAAGGUAGAAAAAUCAGGGAAAGCUGUGAAAUCAACUAAUUUAUUGCAAAAUAAAGUUAUUUCAGCCAUGAA